CUUGUGUGGCCUCUCAGAGGUUUCCUGGAAUGUAGCUCCACAUUUCUGGUGAGCCUGUGCUGCUGGAAAUCCUGAGAUUUUGCUUUCUCCAGCUGCAAAGCUGAAGGCAAAGCUGAAGAAUCCUGGACACUCUCCUUUGUUCAAAUAAAACUUCUAUUUACACAGGAUUUGCUAAAGGAGUACAAGGAAAUGGCAGAGAUAGCAUUAAGCUCACACAGCAGUUCCGGAAAGCGCCCCUUCAUUGUUCUCAGGCUUGUACCUGCAGUAACAGGGCCUACAGGCUUUGAACACAAGACAACUGAGUUCGGAACCUCA
rnacentral:lncRNA from 1 species